AUUGAACGCUGGCGGCAGGCUUAACACAUGCAAGUCGAACGGUAACAGGCCGCAAGGUGCUGACGAGUGGCGAACGGGUGAGUAAUACAUCGGAACGUGCCCGAUCGUGGGGGAUAACGCAGCGAAAGCUGUGCUAAUACCGCAUACGAUCUACGGAUGAAAGCGGGGGAUCGCAAGACCUCGCGCGGACGGAGCGGCCGAUGGCAGAUUAGGUAGUUGGUGGGGUAAAGGCCUACCAAGCCGACGAUCUGUAGCUGGUCUGAGAGGACGACCAGCCACACUGGGACUGAGACACGGCCCAGACUCCUACGGGAGGCAGCAGUGGGGAAUUUUGGACAAUGGGCGCAAGCCUGAUCCAGCCAUGCCGCGUGCAGGAUGAAGGCCUUCGGGUUGUAAACUGCUUUUGUACGGAACGAAAAGGUUUCUUUUAAUACAGGGAACUGAUGACGGUACCGUAAGAAUAAGCACCGGCUAACUACGUGCCAGCAGCCGCGGUAACAC
rnacentral:rRNA from 1 species